rnacentral:lncRNA from 1 species
UCAUGCCUGGAUUCUGCCAACCACCUGCCUUCCAACACCUUUGUCAAUUACCUCUUGUUUAAGAACUUGUAAAUUAUAUACUCUGCCCAUGUGUUAUGUUUCCCUUACCUCCUGAACAUUUCCUGUGAAUGGAUCUUCUAGUUUGGGACCUGCUUCUGUCCCUGUGGAGUCCGUCCUUUGAAUAACCCAGUACAGGAUUUUAAUGAGAUCCAGAGAUGUUCUCCUAAUCGUUCACUCCAGUUGAAGUUAUUGCAGAAAGAACAGUGUCAAGGAAUCCACACAUUGCAUAUUCCUGCCAUGGAGCUGUGAUUGUUUCAAUAAAGGGCACAGGAAAAAAGGAAGUUAAGUAGAGCCCAUAACUGCCUUACUCU